UCAAGCUGGAUCUGAUCCGAAAAAUACUGGGAAUCCUGGGGACACUGGCAAGCUUUUCACCGCUCGCUUGCCAGUGUCCCCAGCAUUCCCAGUAUUUUUCGGAUCAGAUCCAGCUUGA